rnacentral:rRNA from 1 species
GGGUUGUGAGGUUAAGCGACUAAGCGUACACGGUGGAUGCCCUGGCAGUCAGAGGCGAUGAAGGACGUGCUAAUCUGCGAUAAGCGUCGGUAAGGUGAUAUGAACCGUUAUAACCGGCGAUUUCCGAAUGGGGAAACCCAGUGUGUUUCGACACACUAUCAUUAACUGAAUCCAUAGGUUAAUGAGGCGAACCGGGGGAACUGAAACAUCUAAGUACCCCGAGGAAAAGAAAUCAACCGAGAUUCCCCCAGUAGCGGCGAGCGAACGGGGAGGAGCCCAGAGCCUGAAUCAGUGUGUGUGUUAGUGGAAGCGUCUGGAAAGGCGCGCGAUACAGGGUGACAGCCCCGUACACAAAAAUGCACAUGCUGUGAGCUCGAUGAGUAGGGCGGGACACGUGGUAUCCUGUCUGAAUAUGGGGGGACCAUCCUCCAAGGCUAAAUACUCCUGACUGACCGAUAGUGAACCAGUACCGUGAGGGAAAGGCGAAAAGAACCCCGGCGAGGGGAGUGAAAAAGAACCUGAAACCGUGUACGUACAAGCAGUGGGAGCACAGAGCAAUCUGUGUGACUGCGUACCUUUUGUAUAAUGGGUCAGCGACUUAUAUUCUGUAGCAAGGUUAACCGAAUAGGGGAGCCGAAGGGAAACCGAGUCUUAACUGGGCGUUAAGUUGCAGGGUAUAGACCCGAAACCCGGUGAUCUAGCCAUGGGCAGGUUGAAGGUUGGGUAACACUAACUGGAGGACCGAACCGACUAAUGUUGAAAAAUUAGCGGAUGACUUGUGGCUGGGGGUGAAAGGCCAAUCAAACCGGGAGAUAGCUGGUUCUCCCCGAAAGCUAUUUAGGUAGCGCCUCGUGAAUUCAUCUCCGGGGGUAGAGCACUGUUUCGGCAAGGGGGUCAUCCCGACUUACCAACCCGAUGCAAACUGCGAAUACCGGAGAAUGUUAUCACGGGAGACACACGGCGGGUGCUAACGUCCGUCGUGAAGAGGGAAACAACCCAGACCGCCAGCUAAGGUCCCAAAGUCAUGGUUAAGUGGGAAACGAUGUGGGAAGGCCCAGACAGCCAGGAUGUUGGCUUAGAAGCAGCCAUCAUUUAAAGAAAGCGUAAUAGCUCACUGGUCGAGUCGGCCUGCGCGGAAGAUGUAACGGGGCUAAACCAUGCACCGAAGCUGCGGCAGCGACACUGUGUGUUGUUGGGUAGGGGAGCGUUCUGUAAGCCUGUGAAGGUGUGCUGUGAGGCAUGCUGGAGGUAUCAGAAGUGCGAAUGCUGACAUAAGUAACGAUAAAGCGGGUGAAAAGCCCGCUCGCCGGAAGACCAAGGGUUCCUGUCCAACGUUAAUCGGGGCAGGGUGAGUCGACCCCUAAGGCGAGGCCGAAAGGCGUAGUCGAUGGGAAACAGGUUAAUAUUCCUGUACUUGGUGUUACUGCGAAGGGGGGACGGAGAAGGCUAUGUUGGCCGGGCGACGGUUGUCCCGGUUUAAGCGUGUAGGCUGGUUUUCCAGGCAAAUCCGGAAAAUCAAGGCUGAGGCGUGAUGACGAGGCACUACGGUGCUGAAGCAACAAAUGCCCUGCUUCCAGGAAAAGCCUCUAAGCAUCAGGUAACAUCAAAUCGUACCCCAAACCGACACAGGUGGUCAGGUAGAGAAUACCAAGGCGUUUGAGAGAACUCGGGUGAAGGAACUAGGCAAAAUGGUGCCGUAACUUCGGGAGAAGGCACGCUGAUAUGUAGGUGAAGUCCCUCGCGGAUGGAGCUGAAAUCAGUCGAAGAUACCAGCUGGCUGCAACUGUUUAUUAAAAACACAGCACUGUGCAAACACGAAAGUGGACGUAUACGGUGUGACGCCUGCCCGGUGCCGGAAGGUUAAUUGAUGGGGUCAGCGCAAGCGAAGCUCUUGAUCGAAGCCCCGGUAAACGGCGGCCGUAACUAUAACGGUCCUAAGGUAGCGAAAUUCCUUGUCGGGUAAGUUCCGACCUGCACGAAUGGCGUAAUGAUGGCCAGGCUGUCUCCACCCGAGACUCAGUGAAAUUGAACUCGCUGUGAAGAUGCAGUGUACCCGCGGCAAGACGGAAAGACCCCGUGAACCUUUACUAUAGCUUGACACUGAACAUUGAGCCUUGAUGUGUAGGAUAGGUGGGAGGCUUUGAAGUGUGGACGCCAGUCUGCAUGGAGCCGACCUUGAAAUACCACCCUUUAAUGUUUGAUGUUCUAACGUGGACCCGUGAUCCGGGUUGCGGACAGUGUCUGGUGGGUAGUUUGACUGGGGCGGUCUCCUCCUAAAGAGUAACGGAGGAGCACGAAGGUUGGCUAAUCCUGGUCGGACAUCAGGAGGUUAGUGCAAUGGCAUAAGCCAGCUUGACUGCGAGCGUGACGGCGCGAGCAGGUGCGAAAGCAGGUCAUAGUGAUCCGGUGGUUCUGAAUGGAAGGGCCAUCGCUCAACGGAUAAAAGGUACUCCGGGGAUAACAGGCUGAUACCGCCCAAGAGUUCAUAUCGACGGCGGUGUUUGGCACCUCGAUGUCGGCUCAUCACAUCCUGGGGCUGAAGUAGGUCCCAAGGGUAUGGCUGUUCGCCAUUUAAAGUGGUACGCGAGCUGGGUUUAGAACGUCGUGAGACAGUUCGGUCCCUAUCUGCCGUGGGCGCUGGAGAACUGAGGGGGGCUGCUCCUAGUACGAGAGGACCGGAGUGGACGCAUCACUGGUGUUCGGGUUGUCAUGCCAAUGGCACUGCCCGGUAGCUAAAUGCGGAAGAGAUAAGUGCUGAAAGCAUCUAAGCACGAAACUUGCCCCGAGAUGAGUUCUCCCUGACCCUUUAAGGGUCCUGAAGGAACGUUGAAGACGACGACGUUGAUAGGCCGGGUGUGUAAGCGCAGCGAUGCGUUGAGCUAACCGGUACUAAUGAACCGUGAGGCUUAACCUUACAACGCCGAAGGUGUUU